CCUGCCUCAGCCUCCCAAGUAGAUGGGACUACAGGCACCCGCCACCAUGCCCAGUUAAUUUUUGUAUUUUUAGUAGAGGUGGGUUUUCACCAUGUUGGCCAGGCUAGUCUCGAACUCCUGACCUUGUGAUCCACCCACCUCGGCCUCCCAAAGUGCUGGGAUUACAGGCGUGAGCCGCCACAUCCUGCCUACCUGAGUUUUAUCUUCAAGGAUUGGAAGAGUUUGGGAGAAGUGAGAUGGAGAAGAACAAUCCAAGUGGAAGAUGUUCUUCCCAAGGCAAGCACCGAGGAACAGGGGUUGUAGGGAGAGCAGAAGGAAACCAGUCCAUAGAAGCCACGGAUGAACAACAUCCUGACAUCAGCCACCGAGCCCUAUGACCUCUCCUUCUCCCGCUCUUUCCAGAACUUGGCCCACCUGCCCCCAUCCUACGAGUCUGCAGUAAAGACCAACCCCAGCAAGUAUUCAUCUCUGAAGAGGCUAACCGACAAGGAGGCUGACGAGUAUUACAUGAGGCGGCGGCACCUGCCUGACCUGGCUGCCCGCGGCACCCUCCCCCUCAAUGUCAUCCAGAUGUCCCAACAGAAGCCGUUGCCACGGGAACGACCCCGCCGGCCCAUCCGGGCCAUGUCCCAGGACAGGGUCCUGUCCCCGGAUCGAGGCCUGGCAGAUGAGUUCAGCAUGCCAUACGACCGCAUCCUGUCCGACGAGCAGCUGCUCUCCACGGAGCGCCUGCACUCCCAGGACCCGCUGCUGUCCCCGGAGCGGACGACCUUUCCUGAGCAGUCGCUGUCCAGGGCCAUCUCGCACACGGACGUCUUUGUGUCCACACCCGUGCUGGACCGCUACCGCAUGAGCAAGAUGCACUCUCAUCCCAGUGCCUCCAAUAACUCGUACGCCACCCUGGGCCAGAGCCAGACGGCAGCCAAGCGUCAUGCCUUUGCCUCGCGCAGACACAACACAGUGGAGCAGCUGCACUACAUCCCGGGCCACCACACCUGCUACACAGCCAGCAAGACCGAAGUGACCGUGUGA
rnacentral:lncRNA from 1 species